CAGGCGUAUUAGGCGCGCGGGCUCCCAUCCUCAUGGCUAUGGGAAGCAAGUUUCCCUCAUCCCUUCUUGGAAGAAUUUUGUUCCUCUGACUUCAGCCUAAAUCGCACGAAGGAGGAGGACACAUCCACAAACUUGAGAGCGGGUGAGAGAAAAAAAAAAUAGAAGGAAAAGAAAAGAGUCCACGUAAACAAGAAAGGAGGCUGUUGCAGGCUCUCCCUGCAGCAAACCCCAAACGAUCUCGUUGCAGGGCGCCCACAAAAUCCCGGCUAUAAUUGAGUGUUUUCUUUGAGGUUUUCUGACCAUGUGCUUUUUACCAUGGUUACUAUGACUCUGAUUCCAGAAGCUGAAUAUUCAUCAUGAUCCCAUCCCAACCUUUCAGAAGGCUUAUCUCGUUGGUCCUUACAAAGAAGGAGAAUCUAAAGGGGGCUCCUCUGUGCCAGUGAUUUUAACCUGCUCCACCUUCCAGUGACCUGCCACAUGCUCCUUCUUACUUUAUAGACAUCUGGGAAUUCCAUACAUGCCUUAAACUCCAAUUACACACCUUCUUCAAAGGACACGUGCUUUGAUUUGCUAAGAACAUUAAGUGGGCUCACGUCCUUAGGCCUUGAGACAAAAGCGAGGGGAAAAUGGAAAAUGUAUCCCAUGUCGUUUUUUUUUUUUUUUUAAUUUAAACUGGGUCUAUCCUUUGCUGUCCAGUAAAUAAAGAUAGUUAAUAAUCCUCCUAUUUGCACAUUCGUGGGCUCUCAAAGAGUUGGAAGGUUUCUGAGAAAUAGUGGGAUUGCCGGCUUUGAGAAAAUAUGAAGAAACCGAUUUCUCCUUCCACUUUGCCAGUGCACUUUCCUUCCACUUUCACUGGUGCUGGGGGCGGCGCACUCUUUACGACAUAUAAGCGGAAAAUUCUGCAAAAGUGGCCCCCGGGGAUCCCCGCCCGACCCCUGUCUGUCGCUAAUGUGGGCCUGUCUCCGGAAAUUCGAGGUUGGGCCUUUGCCUGAAUCUGUUGCUAUUGCUCCCCUUGCUACCGCUGACACUUGGCACCGCCGCCUCCUAGCAGCGGCCAGACGCGGGGCUGGGGGCCUUCCACGCAAACCGAAGGAGAUACGGACAUCGUCAUUCUCCCCACCGCGCGAGCCGGGCCCGCCACCCACGCAGGGGAGACCGUGCCCGUGCCCCUCUCCCGCGCCUGCCGCAGAUGCAGGGAAAACCGCCUGACAUCAUGAGAGCGGGACAAACGCUCACUUUGAAGGAUUCCUGGGCAGGACUUCAAGUGAAAUCAUAUGCCUGAGAAGAACUUGAUACCGGUCUAGAGAAAAUAACCAGUUCUGACUUUGCCAAACCAUGGAAUGUGCAAAAUGCUCUACUUUUUUGCAAGAGGCCAAAUGUCCCUUAAAAAGCUCCAUUAUGAAUAUGAACCUUAAGACCGAAGGGUCAAGAAGCUUGUGCCGUUGUUGAGUGUGGGAAAAAAUUUACACACAUCGUGCAAGUUUCUGCUCCUUAACAUUAUUUUAUUAAUAAUACGUUCCACUUUGGGGAGGGGAACCUGUAACUGUGCGUGAAUUAUCAUCUGGACAUGUGCUUCUGUGAACAAAAGGGGAAAUGUGCAUAUGGGUAAAAAAAUUACUGCUUUCUUAUAACUAAAGGCUAUCAAUCUGACCAACUUAUAAAUAAAAGUAAUCAAUAGCA